rnacentral:rRNA from 1 species
GACGUGACUUCAGAGUUUGAUCCUGGCGUCAGGACGAACGGCUGGCGGCGUGCUUAACACAUGCAAGUCGAGCGGGGAUUGAAUUUGGAAGGUUUCGGCCGGAAGGAUUCAAUUCUAGCGGCGGACGGGUGAGUAACGCGUGAGCAAUCUGUCCCACACAGGGGGAUAACAACUGGAAACAGUUGCUAAUACCGCAUAAGACCACGGUGUCGCAUGGCAUUGAGGUAAAAGAUUUAUCGGUGUGGGGUGAGCUCGCGUCUGAUUAGCUAGUUGGUGAGGUAACGGCCCACCAAGGCGACGAUCAGUAGCCGACCUGAGAGGGUGAUCGGCCACAUUGGAACUGAGACACGGUCCAG